rnacentral:rRNA from 1 species
AACGAACGCUGGCGGCAUGCCUAACACAUGCAAGUCGAACGAGACCUUCGGGUCUAGUGGCGCCCGGGUGCGUACCGCGUGGGAACCUGCCCUUAGGUUCGGAAUAACUCCCCGAAAGGGGUGCUAAUACCGGAUAAUGUCUUCGGACCAAAGAUUUAUCGCCUUUGGAUGGGCCCGCGUUGGAUUAGCUAGUUGGUAGGGUAAAAGCCUACCAAGGCGACGAUCCAUAGCUGGUCGGAGAGGAUGAUCAGCCACACUGGGACUGAGACACGGCCCAGACUCCUACGGGAGGCAGCAGUGGGUAAUAUAGGACAAUGGGCGAAAGCCUGAUCCAGCAAUGCCGCGUGAGUGAUGAAGGCCUUAGGGUUGUAAAGCUCUUUUACCCGGGAUGAUAAUGACAGUACCGGGAGAAUAAGCUCCGGCUAACUCCGUG